CCUCUGAAAUUCCAAGCAAAAAUUUAGUAUUUAUUUGCAGAAAAAGAGAAAUGGUCAAAAUAAUGAAAAACAUGCUGUGCUUUCAGACCUCAAAUAAUGCAAAGAAAACAAGUUUAUAGUCAUUUAGCAACAACAAUACCAAUGUUUUAACUUGGGAAGAGUUCAGAAAUCAAUAUUUGAUGGAAUAACUGUAUUUCUCUGA